rnacentral:rRNA from 1 species
CUGGCGGCGGCUUACACAUGCAAGUCGAGCGAUAACAUAUCUAGCUUGCUAGAUGAUGACGAGCGGCGGACGGGUGAGUACAACUUGGGAAUCUGCCUGAUGGAGGGGGACAACCACUGGAAACGGUGGCUAAUACCGCAUAAUCUCUUUUGAGCAAAGUGGGGGACCUUCGGGCCUCACGCCAUCAGAUGAGCCCAAGCAAGAUUAGCUAGUUGGUAGGGUAAAGGCCUACCAAGGCGACGAUCUUUAGCUGGUCUGAGAGGAUGAUCAGCCACACUGGGACUGAGACACGGCCCAGACUCCUACGGGAGGCAGCAGUGGGGAAUAUUGGACAAUGGGCGCAAGCCUGAUCCAGCCAUGCCGCGUGUGUGAAGAAGGCCUUCGGGUUGUAAAGCACUUUCAGUGGUGAGGAAGGGUGUGUUGUUAAUAGCGACAUACAUUGACGUUAGCCACAGAAGAAGCACCGGCUAACUCCGUGCCAGCAGCCGCGGUAAUACGGAGGGUGCGAGCGUUAAUCGGAAUUACUGGGCGUAAAGCGCACGUAGGCGGCUUGUUAAGCAAGAUGUGAAAGCCCAGGGCUCAACCUUGGAAUAGCAUUUUGAACUGGCAGGCUAGAGUUUUGAAGAGGGUGGUAGAAUUUCCAGUGUAGCGGUGAAAUGCGUAGAUAUUGGAAGGAAUACCAGUGGCGAAGGCGGCCACCUGGUCAAGAACUGACGCUGANGAGCGAAAGCGUGGGGAGCAAACAGGAUUGGAUACCCUGGUAGUCCACGCUGUAAACGAUGUCAACNUAGUUGUUCGUUUCCAUAAAUG